rnacentral:lncRNA from 1 species
AGUAACCCUCUGUAGGAUUCUGUGAAUGGUAGAUCCUUAUGCUAGGAUUGUAUAUUAGAGCUUAAGGACUCCUCAGAGACCAAACAUAGCUAAGACCUCCAUUAAUGGUUAAGGAAACUGUUUCCCAGAGAGCAUGGACAUCUAUGUAUAUAUGACUGCAAUGGAAUACCAUUAUGCCGUAAGAAAUGACAAACAAAAUUAUGCCAAAAAAAUCCCUGGAAAGACUUAUAUGAAGUGAUGCAAAGCAAAGUGAGCAGAACCCGGAGAACAUUGUAUAUGAGAAGAUUAAAAAGAAAAUACCAACAUCAAGAACUAGCCAUUAAAACUGUCCAAAAUGGAAUCGACUGCAUGGCAAAGUGGAGAGCUCCUUCACAGCUGAGUUCUUCAAAUGUCCUAUUAUGGAAAAAUGUCAAAAGCAAAACAGAAUCCUCAUAUUAAAUCUGUAUAGUCAAUCAAAGCAAAUUCCCACAGUGGUCAUUUCCAAAACACACAAGACUUAAGGAAUACUCUUUGAAAUGAGAGGACUCUGAAGUGAGGGGGAUCAGUAGGUUUCCCCCUCACUAGAAGAGUUUCAAUAAAGCCUGGAGAACAGUUCA